rnacentral:rRNA from 1 species
CCGUUCGGGAACUCUGACCACGAGGUGCUGCAUGGCUGUCGUCAGCUCGUGUCGUGAGAUGGUUGGGUUAACGUCCCGUAACGAGCGCAACCCUUGUCCUUAGUUACCAGCACGUUAUGGUGGGCACUCUAAGGAGACUGCCGGUGACAAACCGGAGGAAGGUGGGGAUGACGUCAAGUCAUCAUGGCCCUUACGGCCUGGGCUACACACGUGCUACAAUGGUCGGUACAAAGGGUUGCCAAGCCGCGAGGUGGAGCUAAUCCCAUAAAACCGAUCGUAGUCCGGAUCGCAGUCUGCAACUCGACUGCGUGAAGUCGGAAUCGCUAGUAAUCGUGAAUCAGAAUGUCACGGUGAAUACGUUCCCGGGCCUU